rnacentral:rRNA from 1 species
ACAGCAGUAGCCGCGGGAAUACAGAGGGUGCAAGCGUUAAUCGGAAUUACUGGGCGUAAAGCGCGCGUAGGUGGUUUGUUAAGUUGGAUGUGAAAUCCCCGGGCUCAACCUGGGAACUGCAUCCAAAACUGGCAAGCUAGAGUAUGGUAGAGGGUGGUGGAAUUUCCUGUGUAGCGGUGAAAUGCGUAGAUAUAGGAAGGAACACCAGUGGCGAAGGCGACCACCUGGACUGAUACUGACACUGAGGUGCGAAAGCGUGGGGAGCAAACAGGAUUAGAUACCCCCGUAGUCCCUGUCUCUUAUAC